UACAGAGGGUUCGAGCGUUGUUCGGAAUUAUUGGGCGUAAAGGGCGCGUAGGCGGUGCGGUAAGUCACCUGUGAAAUCUCCUGGCUCAACUGGGAGCUUGCAGGCGAAACUGCCGUGCUGGAGUGUGGGAGAGGUGCGUGGAAUUCCUGGUGUAGCGGUGAAAUGCGUAGAUAUCGGGAGGAACACCUGUGGCGAAAGCGGCUCACUGGACCACAACUGACGCUGAGGCGCGAAAGCUAGGGGAGCAAACAGG
rnacentral:rRNA from 1 species